rnacentral:lncRNA from 1 species
UCGCCAUCUGACCAAAUAUCACUGAUAGCCUCAACUCAAAUGGAGAAGAUCUGAUCAUCCAAAAUUCUCUCAAUCUGAUCGUGUUUUACUGAUAUUUUGGCUGGUGGACACUCAAGGACAGGCUCGCUCUUAAAGAUUGGUUCAAGCUUCAACGACUCACUAGGUAUCUGAGUUGGCUCUUUACAGAUGAUGAGAUCUGUAAUGUUAAAAGUAGAGCUAAUCCCA